rnacentral:lncRNA from 1 species
AUUAUGAACAUUAUAGACAAUUAUGUACAAGUAGCCUUUCCCUAAUUUUCCCCUCCAAUUUGCCGACGAUAGGUUAAAACAUGCCGAGUCAAUUUUUGAGGAGGAGCAAGAGGAGGAAAAUUGGUGGCGACGAUGCAUAUAGAACAUGGAGAAAUGCAGAUAUGGACGUUCUAUGGGAAAUUUUCUUCUCCUACCAGAAGAAGAUUUGUUCUUUAAGAUUUCAAAGGUUUGUCAACGGGGGCGAUAUAUAUGUUGGGAGAUUUUGUUCUGGAUAAAUUACCAUACUAUAGAUUUAUCGAAGUUGAAAGAAGUUCUUUAUCAAGGGUAUAGUCCGCGCAGAAUAGUGUCAAAAUCGAAACACGCAAACAUUUGUGGUACUUAUUUUGGGGAAUUUGGGAUAAGUUUACAGUACGAAAACAUAUUACUCCAUGGAUUGAACUGGAUCUUGGGCUCUGUGUCUGAACUAUGUUUCAGAAGUGGUUUUACCAUAUAAUAUUUACACAAGUGAAGACAACCUCGUUUACAUUAGCAAAUGGUAUUAUUUGCAGCAUAUUUUCUGAAUUCUCCUCCAUGGGAAAUAUUCAUGGGCGAUUUGUACUGUCUUAUGAUUUGUUGUCUUUACGUCUUUUUAAAUUUGCAUCAGGUUACCAAAUAUUAAAAAGUUAAGACUGUUCAGCGCGGGGGAUUUAUAAGGGCUAGCAGGAAUUGGAAGAAGCUGGAAGAGUUAUCAAUAGGAAGUCGCACAAACUGCAGGAGCUUGAAUUCAUUAUAUUUAUCUGGUUUUGAACUGCCAUUCUCUGGAGAAUCCAGCCUUAAGUUCGACAAUAUUAUUUCCUUGCACGUUAGAGAUCUUCGUCAGCUUCGAGUUUUGACAAUUACAAGUGCCGGGGUACAGAAGAGGGCGGGGGUGGGGGGGGUAGAGACUAUUAUGGCCAACUGUGAAAAGUUAUCAAGGCUAAAUCUUGUUGACUGCGCUAGAUUGGACUCUGGAAUAUAUCGUCUUCCUGCCAUCUCAGUAGAAGUGUGAAGGAAUCAUUCAAAAUGGUACAUUGGCUCACAAGAGGAGUUGUCUAGCAUACAAGAGUUGAUUGAGCAGUUGUGGACCUUUUGACGCUGAGAAGAUGCUUGAUAUGUGUGUGGUUAGUCUCUCUGCUUUUGCAACUUUUGAUGUAGUUUAGUCCUAUCAUCCUCAGGGAAAUUUUAUGCAGGUUACUGAUAUGAUUAUACGGUGUCAUACAACUAAUGAGGUUAGAAUUCUUGAUGCCUGGAUAGAAAACAGUAAUAAAUAGUAAUUUCUGGAACAAAACCAAAAACUAUCAGAUCUUUUAUUGAUAUGUAAAGAUUGAAUUGUUAUUCCUACAUUUUUGUAAUAUUAAUCAUGCCAGAAUAAAAACUAAAUCCGUAACAAAAGAUAAUGUCCAACUGCAUAUUAUUAUACAUUAUGAAGACUUAUUACUUGGGGAAAGCCUUUAAGCAAGCAAAAUAACUGGAGAGUACCAUAAGAUUCGUAGAUGAUAGAAGAUCGUAGCAGGAAUCAAUAAGCAAAGGACUAAGUAAAAACAAAAAGGAAUCAAGAAAUAGAGUCUGCAUAGUAGAGUUAAUCCCCACCCCUUAAAUCACACAUACAUUUUCUAAGACACUUCCCAGCAACUCUUUCUAUCUACGACUUCUUUCUUAUUUUCAUUGGUUUCUAGGAUGAAAUUCAUUGAUGCUUUCAGCUUCCCACUUGUCUUCAUUUUGAACCACAUUGGCUUCGUUCCAUCCUGGAACAAUUGGUUGGACUUCUGCUUGAUCACUUUGUCAUCUUCUAUUUGUGAAACUCCUUUGGAUCCUUCUGAUUCAAGUUCUCCCUUGGGGGAAUUUCACCCAAAAAAAAGAAAAGAAAAAAGAUUGAUAGUUUGAACUGUUCAUUUCUACCUGUUCUGCUACCGGACCUCCAACUCCAAGAUUAUUUACCUUAUGCACUAACGAAUCAGAUGGUCCUUCAUGUUCCUGAGCUUGCUAUGGUCUUCGAUAUGUGAAACUCCUUCGGAUUCUUCUGAUCCAAGUUCUUUCUUGGCGGAAUCGCCCAAAAAGUUUUGAUAGCGUUGGAGGGGUCAUUCCUACGUGUUCUUCUAUUGGACCUCUAACUCCGGGAUUCUGUACCUUCUGCGCAAACAAAGCAUGCGGUCCUUGAUUCUCUUGAAAAUCAAUGUUGUCUUGCUGGUCCACAGUUGGAUGUUCUUGGGGAGGGUCGCGAGGAGGCGGAUAUA